rnacentral:rRNA from 1 species
AGAACGAACGCUGGCGGCAGGCCUAACACAUGCAAGUCGAACGCUCGUAGCAAUACGAGAGUGGCAGACGGGUGAGUAACGCGUGGGAACGUACCCUUCGGUUCGGAAUAACCCGGGGAAACUCGGGCUAAUACCGGAUACGUCCGCAAGGAGAAAGAUUUAUCGCCGAAGGAUCGGCCCGCGUCGGAUUAGCUAGUUGGUGAGGUAACGGCUCACCAAGGCGACGAUCCGUAGCUGGUCUGAGAGGAUGAUCAGCCACACUGGGACUGAGACACGGCCCAGACUCCGUACGGGAGCAGCAGUGGGGAAUA